AUUGAACGCUGGCGGCAGGCCUAAAACAUGCAAGUCGAACGAGUGGCGGACGGGUGAGUAAUGUAUGGGAAACUGCCUGAUGGAGGGGGAUAACUAGUGGAAACGGUAGCUAAUACCGCAUCCCAUCAGAUGUGCCGAGAUGGGAUUAGCUAGUUGGUGGGGUAACGGCUAACCAAGGCGCCGAUCACUAGCUGGUCUGAGAGGAUGACCAGCCACACUGGAACUGAGACACGGUCCAGACUCCUACGGGAGGCAGCAGUGGGGAAUAUUGCACAAUGGGCGCAAGCCUGAUGAAGCCAUGCCGCGUGGAUGAAGAAGGCCUUCGGGUUGUAAAGUACUUUCAGCGGGGAGGCGUUACCCGCAGAAGAAGCACCGGCUAACUCCGUGCCAGCAGCCGCGGUAAUAC
rnacentral:rRNA from 1 species